rnacentral:rRNA from 1 species
AUUGAACGCUGGCGGCACGCCUAACACAUGCAAGUCGAGCGGCAGCGAGAUCAGUAGCAAUACUGAUUGUCGGCGAGCGGCGGACGGGUGAGUAAUCCGUAGGAACCUGCCCAGCAGUGGGGGAUAACUAAUGGAAACGUUAGCUAAUAACGCGUACUUUCGGGAGAAUAAAGCUGCCGGUACCGGUGGCGCUUUUGGAGGGGCAUGGGUCCGAUUAGCUAGUUGGUGAGGUAAUGGCUCACCAAGGCGAUGAUCGGUAACUGGUCUGAGAGGACGACCAGUCACACUGGGACUGAGACACUGCCGAGACUCCUACGGGAGGCAGCAGUGGGGAAUCUUGUACAAUGGGGGCAACCCUGAUCCAGCGAUGCCGCGUGAGUGAAGAAGGCCCUCGGGUCGUAAAGCUCUUUAGGCUGGGAAGAAGUGUGGAAGAGGAAAUGCUUUUACAUUGACUGUACCAGCAGAAUAAGCACCGGCAAACUCUGUGCCAGCAGCCGCAGUAA